rnacentral:rRNA from 1 species
UACGUAGGGUGCAAGCGUUGUCCGGAAUUAUUGGGCGUAAAGAGCUCGUAGGCGGCUUGUCGCGUCGGCUGUGAAAACCUGGGGCUCAACUCCGGGCCUGCAGCCGAUACGGGCAAGCUAGAGUUCGGCAGGGGAGACUGGAAUUCCUGGUGUAGCGGUGAAAUGCGCAGAUAUCAGGAGGAACACCGGUGGCGAAGGCGGGUCUCUGGGCCGAUACUGACACUGAGGAGCGAAAGCGUGGGGAGCGAACAGG